AGCACUCUGGACUUUGAAUCCAGCAAUCCGAGUUCGAGUCUCGGUAGAACCUAGACUUUUUAUAUUUAUAAC
rnacentral:tRNA from 1 species